GGACGAACGCUGGCGGCGUGCCUAAUACAUGCAAGUAGAACGCUGAAGGAGGAGCUUGCUCUUCUGGAUGAGUUGCGAACGGGUGAGUAACGCGUAGGUAACCUGCCUGGUAGUGGGGGAUAACUAUUGGAAACGAUAGCUAAUACCGCAUAAUAACAGUUGUUGCAUGACAACUGUUUGAAAGGUGCAAUUGCAUCACUACCAGAUGGACCUGCGUUGUAUUAGCUAGUUGGUGGGGUAACGGCUCACCAAGGCGACGAUACAUAGCCGACCUGAGAGGGUGAUCGGCCACACUGGGACUGAGACACGGCCCAGACUCCUACGGGAGGCAGCAGUAGGGAAUCUUCGGCAAUGGACGAAAGUCUGACCGAGCAACGCCGCGUGAGUGAAGAAGGUUUUCGGAUCGUAAAGCUCUGUUGUAAGAGAAGAACGAGUGUGAGAGUGGAAAGUUCACACUGUGACGGUAUCUUACCAGAAAGGGACGGCUAACUAC
rnacentral:rRNA from 1 species